rnacentral:rRNA from 1 species
CCUACGGGGGGCAGCAGUGAGGAAUAUUGGUCACUGUGCGCGAGCCUGAACCAGCCAAGUAGCGUGAAGGAUGACUGCCCUACGGGUUGUAAACUUCUUUUGUCAGGGAGCAACGCCGGCUACGUGUAGCCGGACUGAGAGUACCUGAAGAAAAAGCAUCGCCUAACUCCGUGCCAGCGGCCGCGGUAAUACUGGGCAUGCGAGCGUUCUCCGGAUUUCUUUGGUUUAAGGGGUGCGUAGGCGGAAUUCCAAGUCAGCGGUAAAAUCGCGGGGCUCAACCUCGCUCCGCCGUUGAUACUGGCGUUCUUGAGUGGGCGAGAAGUAUGCGGAAUGCGUGGUGUAGCGGUGAAAUGCAUAGAUAUCACGCAGAACUCCGAUUGCGAAGGCAGCAUACCGGCGCCCAACUGACGCUGAAGCACGAAAGCGUGGGUAUCGAACAGGAUUAGAUACCCCUGUAGUC